rnacentral:SRP_RNA from 1 species
GCUGGGUAUGGUGGUGCACGCCUGUAAUCCCAGCUACUCGGGAGGCUGAGGUGGGAGGAUCGCUUGAGCCCAGGAGGUGGAGAUUGCAGUGAGCCGAGAUCACACCACUGCACUCCAGCCUGGGCAACAGAGCGAGACACUGCCUCAA